rnacentral:siRNA from 1 species
AUAGCCCUUUUCCCUCUUGGCAC